AUCCUUACCUGUUAGAGCAGCCACCAUAACCAUGCAUGUGUUUUUCCCAGGGUGAGGCUCAGCACUGACAUUUCAGGUGUGCUGACCCCUGUGGUGUCCCCAAAUGUGGGAAACUUGACUGCAUAAUUUGUGGUAGUGGGAGACUGCAUUCUCCCA